AACGCACCUUGCGCUCCUUGGUAUUCCGAGGAGCAUGCCUGUUUGAGUGUCGCGAAAUCAUCAACUCCUCUCUUUUGCUUUUGUAAAGGAGGGUGAGCUUGGACUUGGGGACUUUGCUGGCCCAUUACUGGGUUCUGGCUUCCCUUGAAUGCAUUAGCUGGAUCUCUAUUCGCAGCAUAUAUGCGGUGUGAUAAUGUCUUCACUGCAUCGCUCGAGUUGAAGCUAGCUUCUAAUCGUCCUUAGGGACAAUCUCUGAUCAUUUCGACCUCAAAUCAGGUAGGACUACCCGCUGAACUUAA
rnacentral:misc_RNA from 1 species